rnacentral:rRNA from 1 species
GCCAGCAGCCAUAUCACUCUGCAACUCACAACUGGCAGCCCACUGAAGCUAAGCAGAUGUGAGCCUGGUCAGUACCUGGAUGGGAGACCUCCUGGGAAAAACUAAGGUUGCUGCUGGAA